GUCAAUCUGAACUGAAAAAUUAGCUUGUGUCCACAUAUUUUUUCAACUAAUUUUGGUACCUCCAUAUUAUCUUGAUUGAUCGAGGAAAUCAAGAAAUCUGCAGAUUCAUUAAUUAGCAUCUGAGCUUCCUUGCCGAAAAGUACGCUAGUUGCACUUGCUGUUGAAUCACUUAUUUCAAUCUUAAUUUUGGAUCUGCAAUUGUGCAAACAUUAUGUUUUAAAAAUUGUAUUCGUAUUAGCAAUAGCGGAAUAACAUUGUAAACACUAAAUUAUUUACCGUGUUUUAGGAUGAGCCUUUUUGUUGCAUUUUUUGCAGAAGUAGUGAUCAUAAUUCUUGUCAAGUUGCUUCUUGCAGUUAUCUUCACUACAUGAGAUGUAGUACCAACCAUAUUUUGCACUAACUGCAUUAAUUGUUGCUUCAACGGGCAAUACCAUAUAAGGUGGAGUGGCAAAGAGGGGUUUUUGCAACACUAAGUUGGAGUCUGUGUGGGACAGUGCAUAGGUCAUCUUCCAUAUACUGCAAGAUUGAUGCUGGAGUGCUAAUACCUUUCAAGAUUGAUGCUGGAGUGCUAAUACCUUUCAUCUAUCAUUUGUUCCCUUACAGCCUAUGGAAAUUUAUGUUGAUGAUGAGGGAAAGUUGACCCUCCAUGGCCUUGUACAGGGCAAUUACCAUAUAAGGUGGAGCGGGAAAGAAGGGUUUUUGCAACACUAAGCAUAUUUGGCGAAAUUGCAGUGUGCAACAGUGCAUAGGUAAUCUUCCAUAUACUGCAAGAUUGAU